rnacentral:tRNA from 1 species
CGGGGAGUGGCGCAGCUUGGCAGCGCGCUUCGUUUGGGACGAAGAGGUCCCGGGUUCGAAUCCCGGCUCCCCGACCA